AAGGCGGUGAAUAACGAUAAGGUUUCCACGAACCUUUCGAUGUCAUCGGGUGCCGUGGAAACUAGUCAGUCAGACACUGUGCGACGAUUUUAACACGUCAUUAGCCAACGUUCGCGGUUUUCGAUACCCACUUCUGGUUCCCGAAGAGAGCGUCCGUCGUCAUCUCGGCAAUAAUAAUAAUAAAUAAUAAUAACGUGCCCGGUGAAGCUUUGCUCGAUGUGGGUGGAUAGGUGCGGGCGGACGUGUUGACAAGAGACUCUAUGACGCUGAGUGGUCCGAAAAUAAAUCGGCACUUUGGCACACGGGUGGCGUUCUCUGGCGCAGUCGGGCAUUUAGCCGGUGUUUACAUCGAUAAACCUCAUCGCCGCAUGCGAAGCCGCCAUUACGAAACCAUCAACUCGCCCCCGAACCGUCUUCCGCGUUUACCUAUUCCACAAGAAAUUCACAACUCGUCCCUAACCAGUUUCUUGGAACGACGUCAAAAGCGCGUUUGCACAUCGCUGCUACAACGACGAUUCGCUCUAGGAUCGAUACGCAGCUGUUUCGGGGUGAAUUUUGACUUUACGGUUUUUUCAAACCAAAGUUAUGACAGCUUCCGAUCCUGUUAUUGCCGUUUAGACUUCUUCGCUAGCGAUAAAAUCUUAGACUUCGUCUCCGUGAUCUGGUGACACCGAAAUCGGAGGCCAGAGGGUGUGCUCCGGGUUAUUUAACAUAAGGAACGCAUUAACCGGGACAGAAUUACGCCUUCCUCUGUGUGGAAGAUACCGAGAUUCGAAGGAAAGGGGGACGAUAUUAUGCAAAUCACCGGCGUUUGCCUCGCAGCAUCGGUUUUAAUUGAAGGGAUACUUCAGCCCAGGGUCAAUACCUCCGAGGCACUCUGGUUUGAAAUUAUAUUAUACACUCUUACUAAUCAACGAAACAUUUAAAAGAACAUUUGGGAGGGUUGAAAGGGGACUGGAGAUCAUCACAGUCUCUCUUGAAUUAUUCUUCUACCUUAAUCUUUGUGGGUGUAGAAGGUACAGAGGGACUGAGUACUCGGGUCUAUUGUGUAACGAAAAUCUGGAAGUGUCAUUUCUUGGAAAAUGGUGGUCGACGUAGUUUCAUGGAAUCAUUUCGAAGCUGCGAAAUAAAACUGAAUCGAUUCACGACUGAAACAGCUUUUCUCAGUUUCACAAUCAAUCACGGUUCCAACUGUUCUUCUCACCCCAGACUACAAGAUUUUUGUAAUGAAUUUUUGAAAACGUCGAGUUUGCCAAUAGAUUCUGAUAUUCCUGUCAAGCGUUCGCAGAUUCCAUCUUCACAAACGAAGGGAAAAAAGAACGGGGCGCUCACUGAUUGAAGAAUCGUCCGGCGCAUACGUCGGGACAAGUUAUGCCUCUGCUAAUGGACUCCUAGUCGAGCAUUCUGGUCGUGGCUGUGGCUGCGACGGCGGUGAGCCGUGUCACGGGCAAUGCUUGUCGUUGAAGUAUCGUUGCUUACCCGUCACCGAGAGACACGCUAGAUCAGCGUGAGUGAGCAGCGUGUCAGAGAGUUGCGUUCUAGAAAUAUCCCUAAUCAACCUGACUAGUCACUCGAGAGUUCACGAGGCGCUGCACGAGGCUGAUUUGACCAGUGCUUGGAGUCCUCCAAGAGCGCCAUAAAUCCGAAAAACGUCUCACCAGGGUGGCUAAGCCACGAGGCCUACGGUGAUGCUUCGACAAUCACUCCGAGGCACUUCUCUGUCGGAAGGGAAGUUGAUGGAAGUCUUUGGGAAGGAGGCAAGAGCCCAAGAAAAUCGGUCCCCGUAGUGUCACCUAGGCGAAUAUUGGAACCGACCCGACGUGGGUGUUACAAGGUCGUUAAGUCACGGAUGGUUAAGCGAACGCUCGACGUCCGUUGUAGCUGUUGCUUGUGGGCUUCGCGGACCAAGCAGAAAAGAUUGCGCAACCAUUAUACACGUGAAACCAAUAGAUCAAAGUGUAACACUUUGUGAAAAUCUUGGCCGACCCACGCUCCGAGUACGAUAUAUCAAAUCACGAACCGAAAUAACUCCCCGCGAAAUUCUGUCCCCGAAGACGCGUGGUGUAUGGUGUAACGGCACGUGGGUGCCUCGGCUGUCCGUUUGACGGAUUGAAAAAUCGAUCUCUCCCCCUCUGGGAAACGGCCUUUUUUCGACUGCCUCCGAGCGUGGAAAACUCCCCAGAAUCCAAGGAACGAUCCUCGCCACUCUUGCGGAUCAGGGAGCUUAACUUUCCACCGAAUUCAGGAUCAGCACCCGUUACUUUAGACUAAACAUUUUAGCACCGGCUGAGAGAUGGUGAACGGCAAAUAGAGGGAAAAAAUUCUAUAAGAAACAUUGAGAGAACCAAGAAAGACGUUUUGUCUGGCGUGCAUGUAGUAUAUAAUAGUAGAUAUGUAUGUAUGUACGUAAUGUGUUUUCGUGGGGACAUGCGAACAAUAUGAGAAUGCAGUGCAGCAUUUCGCACAUCCGACCGCGGGGAAGAGAACGGUUAAAUUACAAGACAUUCGGCAGCGAAACCAUAUGGUUGUUAUUUUUUCCAACCGUGUCUACGUAUUCGGCGGAAAAAGGUUUCGCGUCAAAAAUCUCCAACGUUUCGUGUUAUUUAUCGCGUCUCGAACGUUUUUUCCCCCCUCCUUUCGUUGUUCGCGCAACGAAAGAUGCUGGAAUUGCUAACGUGGACCAAAAUCGCAUACCGACUUUUGUUUCGCCGAGUGGUUUUUACUUGCCCGAAAUUUGGAAUAUCUAGGUAAAGCUCGAGCCUCGUUACGAGUUCCGUAU